rnacentral:lncRNA from 1 species
GUUGGGGCACCAGGCUGGUAAUUCUGGAUGUCUAUAGCAUGAUCUGGAGGCUUGACAACUGGAGAGAAGAUGAUGGAAGAACAGAGAAUGAAGGUUUUGACUCACAGCUGGCCUCCCUGUAUCCUUUCUGGUCCCAACCAGCUCAGAGAAGACAUGAGCCAUCCAUUGCUGUACUUAAAGCUGGAAGGAGUUCUCAGAGAUUAUUCGAUCCAAAUUCUUAUUUAACAAAUGAGAAAACAGAGGCUCUCAGUGUUGGUAUGACUUAUCCAAGGAUAUUUAAGCCUCUCUAAGUCUGAAUCUGAAAGUAGGUCUUCUGACUCCAGAUGAGUGAUAUAUCUGUUCCUCCAUCCAUGCUACCCUUGUCUGUGCUAGAAACUAGUUAGUGAACAAGUUGAAGGUAGGGAUUGAGUCUUUUCUUUUUUUUUUUAACCCUUAUCUUAGAAUCAGUACUAAGUAUGGGUUCCAAGACAGAAGACUUGUAAGGGCUAGGCAAUUGGAUGUUAAGUGACUUGUCCAGGGUCACCCAGCUAGGAAGUGUCAGAGUUGAACCCAAGACCUCCCACCUCCACAUCUGGCACUCUAUCCACUGUGCUACCCAGUUCCCCUGGGUCUUUUCUUCUAUCUCAUGGAAAACAUGUUCAUUGAAGAUUUGUUGCAUUGAACAAGAACUGAAUGUUACACAAGGCUCCUCACAUUCUGCCUGCCUAUACUUAUCUCCACGCUCUGGGCACAUACAGUCCUUAUAAUCUACUCAGGCUAGCAUUGACUAUCCAGGGACUGAGCCAGGGGCCAAGGACGCAAACACAAAAACAAGACAAGCCUUACCGUCACGGAUCUUACCAGUGCUAACAAGGGGAAACAACCCCCUAAGGGACUGAUUUAGUUCUGUGAUGCUUUGCGUUCUUUGGUUGCUUCACGUGUGUUAAUCAUGUUUCUUGAAAGCAGCCGCCACCUCUAGCUUGUCUGUUUGCUCUCUGUGCCCCCAUUGCCCCUGGUCUAGUUCCUGGUACAUUACCCUCUUCCCACUGAACAUAAGUGCUUGCUCGCUCGCUCGCUGGGUGAGUGUUUACUAGAUUGAACCAUCCUCUCAGCUCAACUCUUCAGUCCUUAAAGGGCUGUUGUGUGGAAGGGGAAUUGACCUGUUCUAAGUGGCCCCAUGUGACAGAGUCAGGAAAAAUGGGCAAACACUGCA